rnacentral:rRNA from 1 species
UACAGAGGUCUCAAGCGUUUGUUCGGAUCAUUGGGCGUAAAGGGUGUGUAGGUGGCGCCGUAAGUCGGGUGUGAAAUUUCGGAGCUUAACUCCGAAACUGCAUUCGAUACUGCGGUGCUUGAGGACUGGAGAGGAGACUGGAAUUCAUGGUGUAGCAGUGAAAUGCGUAGAGAUCAUGAGGAAGACCAGUGGCGAAGGCGGGUCUCUGGACAGUUCCUGACACUGAGACACGAAGGCCAGGGGAGCAAACGGGG